rnacentral:piRNA from 1 species
UCCAAAUUUGAAACUUAUAGG